GCUAAGGAUAGGGAGGUGGAUUUGGGAGCUAGCUCCAAAGAAGGUCGCACCACGGGAAUGAAUCAUGGCCCGGGAAGGGACUGUAGGACAAGGAAAGAGGACUAAGGCUGGACCUUGGUGACAGAACACUGAUGGGACAGGCAGAAGAAGAGGAACCAUGAGGAAGACUAAAGAGGAAUAACACUAGUGAGGAGAAGCAAGGCAGUUCAGUGUCAUGGAAGCCAAAAAUAUGGAGACUUCAAGAGGGAAAUUAAGAUCAGAAAAGAGAACAAGAGAAGAUGGCUGGUUGGUUGCUGGACACCAGAAUAUGAAGAAAUUGAUCCCCUACCUCAAGAAAUGAGAGCAAUACUGAGAGCAUCAGACCGAAGAUUUGGUGUAUGGUUCAAAUUCAUGAUCUAUCUUCUCCAAAUGUUGGCUUUCUCGUCUCUGUUGAUGACCUACUAUGUACCAUUUUGAACGCCUGUUGGACUUAAUAAACUUGCCUCUCCAGGUAUUUGGCUCAGGUGGGUGCUCCUCUAGGAUAUGGCGAUCAAGUAUGCAUUGAUAUCACCCAGAACCUCUGCUCUCAUGCAUCAUCUUUUUCCAGUCUGAGGAUCCCUUACUCUGCCUGGGGAGACAGCUUUUUGGUCUGGCAACACUCCUCCCUUCCAUCAUGACAUUGGAGCUCCUGAGCCCUGCUCCAUGUGCACGAGGGCUGACCAGUGAGGAGGCAGUAAUGUGAAUACUGUACCCCAGGUGUAUGUGGCAUGGCUCACUGCUCUGUAAGGGGAUCUGUGGGUUAUCUGGGGCCAGCUUUUAACCCCAGACUACUUUCCCCUUAACCAGCUUCCUCUUGCUAUCUCGUUCAGAGUGCAUGGGGGAAAAUGCAAUCUCACUUAAAAAUUAACUCAAACAUCUGCUGGUAG
rnacentral:lncRNA from 1 species